GAACUGCGAUAAGUAAUAUGAAUUGCAGAAUUCAGUGAAUCAUCGAGUCUUUGAACGCACAUUGCGCCCCCUGGCAUUCCGGGGGGCAUGCCUGUCCGAGCGUCAUUGCUGCCCUUCAAGCCCGGCUUGUGUGUUGGGUCGUCGUCCCCUCCGGGGGACGGGCCCGAAAGGCAGCGGCGGCACCGCGUCCGGUCCUCGAGCGUAUGGGGCUUUGUCACCCGCUCGAUAAGGACCGGCCGGGCGCCAGCCGGCGUCUCCAACCUUUUUUUCUCAGGUUGACCUCGGAUCAGGUAGGGAUACCCGCUGAACUUAAGC
rnacentral:misc_RNA from 1 species